rnacentral:misc_RNA from 1 species
UCUCCGUUGGUGAACCAGCGGAGGGAUCAUUACCAAGUUCCAGCAACUCACAACCCUUGAGAACCGUACCCCAGUCUGUUCUCGUUGCUUCCGGCAGGCGGGGGGGGCCACCUGGCCCCUCCCCCUGCCGGGGGCGGCGGGCCCGCUGAACCUUUAUAUCACAACCACUAAAACCCGUCUGAGCAAAACAAAAAAUAAUCAAAACUUUCAACAACGGAUCUCUUGGCUCUG